AGACUGAGAUGACGGAGAGGCUGAGGGAGGAGAAGGAGGAGGCCGUGAAGGAGGAGAGAGAGAGUGUGAGAGAAGACUGGAGGAAGGAUGUGCAGGAGAGGGAAGAGGAGGAGAGAAGAAGAAGAGAAGGAUUUUUAGCCACAGCAAGAAGACAGUGGGAGGAGGAAAAGGAGAAGGACUUGCAGAGGAAAAUUGCUCUUGUGGUGGAGGAAAGCCGCAGGGAAGUGGAGGAGGAACGGAAGAGACACAGACUGGAGAUAGACAGUAUAAGAUCAAGAUUUAGGAUAAUGACUAACACCACCACCACCACCACCGCCACCUCCCCCUCCCCCUCCUCCCUCCCCUUCUCCUCCAGCCCAAGCGAGGAGCAGAUCCCCUCCUCCCCACCCCCCUCUCUCCAGAAGU